rnacentral:rRNA from 1 species
UAGGGAAUAUUGGACAAUGGGGGCAACCCUGAUCCAGCCAUGCCGCGUGAGUGAAGAAGGCCCUCGGGUUGUAAAGCUCUUUUGUCCGGAAAGAAAAGCAUUCGGUGAAUACCCGGAUGUUCUGACGGUACCGGAAGAAUAAGCACCGGCUAACUUCGUGCCAGCAGCCGCGGUAAUACGAAGGGUGCAAGCGUUACUCGGAAUUACUGGGCGUAAAGCGUGCGUAGGUGGUUGUUUAAGUCUGAUGUGAAAGCCCUGGGCUCAACCUGGGAAUGGCAUUGGAAACUGGGCAGCGAGAGUGCGGUAGAGGGUAGUGGAAUUCCCGGUGUAGCAGUGAAAUGCGUAGAGAUCGGGAGGAACAUCUGUGGCGAAGGCGACUGCCUGGACCAGCACUGACACUGAGGCACGAAAGCGUGGGGAGCAAACA